GCCUGGGAUGAUUUAAUCCAAUUGUUUGAGGUGUUGUGGAGUCGAGACCCUGUUUACAGGGAGAACCCCUUGAUGAUACUACAUUUCAUAUGACUUUAAUGGAUUUAGCUGAGGC